GACGAACGCUGGCGGCGUGCUUAACACAUGCAAGUCGAACGGAAAGGCCUGCUUUUGUGGGGUGCUCGAGUGGUGAACGGGUGAGUAACACGUGAGUAACCUGCCCUUGACUUUGGGAUAACUUCAGGAAACUGGGGCUAAUACCGGAUAGGAGCUCCUGCUGCAUGGUGGGGGUUGGAAAGUUUCGGCGGUUGGGGAUGGACUCGCGGCUUAUCAGCUUGUUGGUGGGGUAGUGGCUUACCAAGGCUUUGACGGGUAGCCGGCCUGAGAGGGUGACCGGCCACAUUGGGACUGAGAUACGGCCCAGACUCCUACGGGAGGCAGCAGUGGGGAAUAUUGCACAAUGGGCGGAAGCCUGAUGCAGCAACGCCGCGUGCGGGAUGACGGCCUUCGGGUUGUAAACCGCUUUCGCCUGUGACGAAGCGUGAGUGACGGUAAUGGGUAAAGAAGCACCGGCUAACUACGUG
rnacentral:rRNA from 1 species